AUGCACUGUCUUUGAACCUGCAGAGCCCUCUCCAUGGCUCCGUAGGCCAAGCUACAGCUGCAAGAGCAAAUCAAAGGCUUGUUAUAACUGGGGUUACUUGGUUUUACAUCCCAAGUUUCUCUUUUAAAUGCAACUCACAUCU
ensembl:snoRNA